rnacentral:rRNA from 1 species
UAUGUGAUCGUCUCUCGCAUAUCAAUAAGCGGAGGAAAAGAAACUAACAAGGAUUCCCCUAGUAACGGCGAGUGAAGGGGGAAGAGCUCAAAUUUGAAAUCUUAAAGGGUUUCCCUUUACGAAUUGUAGUUUAAAGAAGUGUUUUCUGUUGAGGUUUUGGUAAAAGUUCUUUGGAAUAGGACAUCAUAGAGGGUGAGAAUCCCGUAUUUGACCUUUACUUUCAACUUUGUGAUACACUUUCAAAGAGUCGGAUUGUUUGGGAAUGCAGUCCGAAAAUGGGUGGUAAAUUUCAUCUAAAGCUAAAUAUUGGCGAGAGACCGAUAGCGAACAAGUACCGUGAGGGAAAGAUGAAAAGAACUUUGAAAAGAGAGUUAAACAGUACGUGAAAUUGUCAAAAGGGAAGCGUUUGACACCAGUGUUGUUUUUCUGAAAAUCAAUUAAAGAACUGUUUAUGCUAAGUUGUUUAGACUUUAUCAGCUAACUGUUUAGUUUUGAGCUUUUCUUUAAUGCACUUUUCAGUUAACAAGUCAACAUCAAUUUCUUUUGCUGUAAAAAAGCUUGAGGAAGGUGGCUUGAGAUUCGUCUUAAGUGUUUAUAGCCUCUUGCCUAUGCAGUCGGAGAGAUUGAGGUCUGCAGCGUAGAUCCUUCGGGGCUAAAUGCAUUUGUGCUAAGUUAUAGCAUUUUCAUAGACAACUUGUUGACUAUGAUUUGUCUUGUAGCUUACUCGCUUAUGUUAUUUUACCUACGCUUAGGAUGUUGAAGACUCUACAGAGAUA